CCCUUAGAUGUUCUGGGCCGCACGCGCGCUACACUGAUUCAUGCAACAAGUUUUGUCCUUGGCUGAUAGGCCUGGGUAAUCUUUGAACGUGAAUCGUGAUGGGGAUAGAUGAUUGCAAUUAUUCAUCUUCAACGAGGAAUUCCUAGUAAACGCAAGUCAUCAGCUUGCAUUGAUUACGUCCCUGCCCUUUGUACACACCGCCCGUCGCACCUACCGAUUGAAUGAUCCGGUGAAAUCUUCGGAUCUGAGAGAUGUCUGAUUAAUUUCGGACGCCUUUUGGAAAAGUUGUUUAAACCUUACCAUUUAGAGGAAGGUGAAGUCGUAACA
rnacentral:rRNA from 1 species